rnacentral:rRNA from 1 species
UACGGGGGGGGUAAGCGUUGUUCGGAAUUACUGGGCGUAAAGGGCUCGUAGGCGGCCAACUAAGUCAUACGUGAAAUCCCUCAGCUUAACUGGGGAACUGCGUGUGAUACUGGAUGGCUUGGAUUUGGGAGAGGGAUGCGGAAUUCCAGGUGUAGCGGUGAAAUGCGUAGAUAUUCGGAAGAACACCAGUGGCGAAGGCGGCUCACUGGACUGGUAUUGACGCUGAGGUGCGAAAGCGUGGGGAGCAAACAGG